rnacentral:ribozyme from 1 species
UUCCUUAUGAGAAAUAUGUCAAAAACUCAAAAAGUAAUGUUUAUGAUUGUUUUAUCUGUUUGUGGGUGCACAAUUUUCCUUAUGAGAAAUAUGU